GCCUAAAUCAGAUGAUUGUCACCUGUGUAAUCGAUAGAAAUUCAUGUUCGCUCAACCAUGACCGUUUAGAAUCCACUUUGUAUACUGAUUACACAUGUAAAAUUGAAGAUGCGAAACAUGCUAUAUUAGACUGUCCUUUAUAUGCAGAUUUACGUGAAAGUUUAUUUUAUGAAGUUAAAAGAAGUAAUGGUGAUUUUAGUAUUUUGUCUGAUGAUGAUAAGUUUAUAUAUCUUUUUAAAAGUACUGCUUUGGUGUGGUUGACAAGACCUGAUGUAAUAUUCUAAGUAGAAGAAAUUGUUUUUUUAUAUGCUUCAUUGAUAUUGAUGAUUUUACAGACCUGAAAAUUUUUUAUAGACAUGAUCAAUGCAGUUAUAUGGUGUUUUUUUUUUGUAUUUCUGGCGAUUAUAUUUUUUACUUUUAUGCAUUAGCGUAUUUUCUAUUCUUAUUGUAACUCACUUUUCGUCCGUCGUCGUUAGCUCUUACAGAAAUCUUCUCCUCUGAAAUCUGAAAUCUGGGCCAAAUUUUAGUUAUAGAACAGUAAUUUUGGGAAUUUGCAAUAAGCCGUUGGUCACGUGCCGAGUGGCACGCGCUGAUUGAAAAAGUAAUUUUACUUCAAAAUUAUAAUAUCUAUUGAUACCAAACUUUUUAUUUCUUAGUUAUUUACUCAUAGCCUCUUAUAUCCAUGUUCUUUGUGGUCUUAAAACAUAGUUUUAGUGUCCUUAGUGCAAAAACUUUCUUCUUAGUGCACUAAGAAGUCCUUUGCGGUAUUUCUACACACCGAGUUCCAGCACCUCACCCAGCACCCUUGCCUUGCACACUGAGUUGGCAAACUGGUGUGUGUCAGUCUUUUUUGUUUGUUUUAUCAGUUUGUUUGUAUAU
rnacentral:lncRNA from 1 species